AAUGUCAUGUAUUUAUACCGACGUUUUUAAAUGAUCCAAUAAAUUGCAAAUAUUUUCUAUUUGAUAAAAAAAUAUUGUUAAAGGUUAGAGAGAAGAAGUAUUUCUUAUAGAAAAAAAGUUGAAAGAGUUUCGAGUUGUAUACGCAAAUCAUAUACAGGUAAAUAAACAAUGUUUUAAACCUAGACACUUUGUAUUAUAUGGAUUGAAAUGAAUAGAACGAACACGCGCUAAAAUAAAUAACACAUGAAUAACGUAUCUAAAUAUUUCCAAUCAGACUGAAUUCUACAAGUGGAUCAACAACAACGUAAAAUUAUCAUUAUUGAAGAAAAUAGGAAUUGUCCUGAAUAUACGGCCUCCUCGAGCGCGCCUACAUGGGCAUGUGGAGAGAAGACAGUGCAAAGGACGGCUGACUAUUAUGGGCUUAAUCUAAGACAGAAACAAGCGUGCCGAAUGAUGCCCUAAUCAAGUGUCCUCAACAAUACCUGCAAGAGCAAGGAUCAUGACAAAUCGUCCUCUUCCCAUUGAGGGCUCUGAGCAAACAGGGACGACAAAACCCACUAAACCUAAAGCAUCAGUUUCCACUAUCAAACCUUUAGCUAGUACUUUUGACAAGGCUCAAUUCAACUGCUGCAACAUCGGUGGUGAGGAAAAAAAGGAGAUGGGACGCCAAAAUGGUUCAGGGUUUAACAGCCCUAGAUCCUAUGGUUGCUUCGACCUACAACCCUCUUCCACCCAGAUGAUGAACAACUUUUAAAGUUGACAAAUGUAACUUUGUUUCGAAAAAUGAAAAGUAGUGCAAUUUUGUAGGACAUAUCUAGAAGCCUUCAUGGAGAGUGGAUUUGAAGUCACUGAGUCAAAGCUUCCUCAAGCCCUAAUCAGAUGUCGCAAACAAUGCCUGUGGGAAACCUACUAAAGCAGGGACCAUAAAUCCUCUUCUCCUUAAGAGCUCUGAGUAAACAAGGACCAAGGAACCAACUGGUGCUUUUGUCAAGGCAUGGCUCAAAUGCCUCGUUAUUAUUUCCUUCUUCAAUUAGUCCAAUAAUGUACAGUAAAAGUCGUUUCAUUUGAAUCAAUCCAAUAUUUAACAUGUUGUAUUUGGUAUCAAAAUAAGUUUUCAUUUCAGUAUUAUUUCCUCAUUUGAUUGAUAUUCUUUUCCACUUAGUAGUGAAUGGGGGGCACAUAUAGUGAAUAUGAAGGGUAAAGAAGUAAUUAGAAGUUCAAUAAUUGAUUGAGGGCGAAAAAAAAAUUUAUUUUCUCUGCUUUAUUACCUUCUUCUAACCAAGUUAUCAUCUUUGGAGACACCUUUUCAAUAAAUGAAAAAUAAU